rnacentral:rRNA from 1 species
GAUGAACGCUGGCGGCGUGCCUAAUACAUGCAAGUCGAGCGAACGGACGAGAAGCUUGCUUUUCUGAUGUUAGCGGCGGACGGGUGAGUAACACGUGGAUAACCUACCUAUAAGACUGGGAUAACUUCGGGAAACCGGAGCUAAUACCGGAUAAUAUUUUGAACCGCAUGGUUCAAUAGUGAAAGACGGUCUUGCUGUCACUUAUAGAUGGAUCCGCGCUGCAUUAGCUAGUUGGUAAGGUAACGGCUUACCAAGGCAACGAUGCUUAGCCGACCUGAGAGGGUGAUCGGCCACACUGGAACUGGGACACGGUCCAGACUCCUACGGGAGGCAGCAGUAGGGAAUCUUCCGCAAUGGGCGAAAGCCUGACGGAGCAACGCCGCGUGAGUGAUGAAGGUCUUCGGAUCGUAAAACUCUGUUAUUAGGGAAGAACAUAUGUGUAAGUAACUGUGCACGUCUUGACGGUACCUAAUCAGAAAGCCACGGCUAACUACGUG